GUGCUAUUGGACCCUGCCAGCCUCUCCUGGAAAUCUGGAAGACCAAGAGUCCAUUAUGCAGCAUAGGCUGUCCCCUUCCUUCACCUCCCCUCACAGUCAUGCCCUCCCUGCCUUCUGUGUACAAAGCCCUGUCCAACCCUCACUGCGUGUGACCCUCACAGAGACCUGCAGAAAGUAGAAAGGUUGUUCAUUUUCCCAGGACAUUAUCCAAAGAAAAAGAUGGGCUGGCAAUUGUCAAGGUUUUAUGAGAUGACACUUACCUUGGAUUACAUUUCCUAAGUAUGACUUGAUUUUCCCAAGUUGGAGCCAUAAAAUCAAUCUUGUCAUGUCUUAGAAGUCAGUAGAUGUGGAAGGCUGGCUCGCUAUAGUGAACCUCACAAGAGACUGAGUUCUAGCUUCAGAUGUGGAGCUGUUAAACCAGUAAGACCAGGGCAUUGUUUUUUUUAAGAUAGCCAAAUUAGCAGAAGGUUGUUUGCUUUUUAACAAAAGCAAGCAAAGGCUCUGCUGAGUUUAAAUAACUUGCCCUAAGUCACCCAGUUAGUACAGUGGAAAAACACUCGACUAUUCUGUUUCCAUCCAUACCAAUGAACUGCUAUGAGAAUCAAAACAUGGGAGGAGGCAGGUAGGCACUUGAGAAAGCUUGGCUCUCCUCUUUCUUUAGAGUUUAAGAGGAGCCACAGAGACUCACCACCUAUCUGGUUCCACUGUCUUGCUCUGACUGCCCUCCCUUCCCUGAGCUUGGUUCCCCUUCCUCUGAUGUGUGCUUCAGUGGCACCAUGGAUGCUUACCACCAUGUGUGGUCCUCCUGUCUUGUUUGGAUGAUCGCAUGCCCUUGGAUGGCAGGAUUCAUCCCUAACUUUGUUAAUACACACUCAUAUUGCUGUGUUGGGUGAUCCUGGAUCCUGUUAAACUUGCAUAGCUCUGAUUCUAGUCUCUCUCUAUAAGUUAUAAAGCUGGAUUCUCAGAUAGAAGCUUCCUAGCCACGAGCAGCCCCCAGAGCCAUCCAUGCUUACUUAGCAGGACAUUCUAUGUAACAUCCAUGCUUAUAUAAUAGUAGCGAUUGUUGUCACUAUUGUUCUUUGGGAAAACUCGAGGCACCAGAAAUUUCUGUCCUGUGUCAAGCUAACCUUGGCUGCAAACUUGAAUUCACACUGUGAACUUUGGGUGCUGGGUUUCUAUGGUCACAAGUCACAUGGUUUACAAUAACUCUAAUGAUCACUCAACCUUUGCUGUGUGACAGACAUUGUUCUCAGCACUGCACAUGCUCGACCAUCACAGCAACUCGUCGCUAUCAUUCCCAUUUUAAAGCUGAAGAAGUGACAGUGAUGGUACAAAGAAAGGGAUUCAUUGGUCAAGGUCAUAUCCAGAAACAAAGUAGCAGAGCCAGGUAUUAAACUCAGACAAUCUAGCUUAUUCUGUUCAUAUCUUCCCAAGAAGAAAAAGAUGCCCCUAUCCCAACCCCAAUGGGACCUUCAGCAAUGCUAAGAAGGUGAUGGCUUGGUUAAAUGUCUUGUUCCUUUUAUUAACCAAGACUAAGUUUCCACCCUGGGGUUUCUAGAAGGGGGUCUUCUAGUUCCAAGAAUACACUCAAUCUUGCUGAGCAGUCACAUUCUGUGUCUUGAACAUUUAGUCAUUGUGACAAGUUGCCUGAGAUAAAUAACUCAGAAGGAGAAGAGAUUGAUUUUUGACUCUCGGAUUGUGGUAGACUCCAUUGCUUGAACCAAAAACAAGAGAAGGAGCUGGAGACAAGACACACCUUCCAAAGGUAACCUUCAUUCUACUUCUUUAAUCAGAUGCCUCCUCUCAUAAGCCCCUUCAGCUAUGAGUACAUCCAUGUGAUACUCCAUUGGUAAGGUUAGCAUGACUUUGGGACCCUGUCCUCUCUCUGGUCUCCCCAAGCACAUGUGUGUGCACUUAAACACACUUAGACAUGUAGGUUCAUGCAUGAACGUAACGCAAAUCUAUUAUUGUUAGUGCUUGAGUCAUCCACGAUUGUGUCUUGGAUAUGUAGAUAACCCUAUUAGUUCCCUGAAACUUGUGCUGUAGUGUCUUAGCAAAAAACAGAGAAGUUGAGAAGGUUUGUUGUCAGCAACGUUACCAAGUGCAAGGAACCUCUUGAACCAUAGCGCUGAACUUUGUAAUCUACUAUUUUUUGAAUGCUCAGAUAUAGUCUUAAUAAAAAACAUAACCAAAAAGGAUAAUGACAGAAAUCAAUCUUCUCAUUUAAUCAGCUUCUUUGUUAAUUCAACCAUAAAUUAUGUGCUAGAGGAGUUUAAUCACAUUGCAUAUGAAUCUUGCCGAGCUUGUAGUAACUACAACCAAAGAUGCAAGUGCAUUAAGUGGUAUUGUAUGCAUUUUUAGUUUAUCUCAUAAAAAAUGUUAUAGCUGCUUAUGGUAGACAUGACUUCUGUAUUUCUCCAUAUGCAUAAAAGAAGAAAACCACAAACCUCCUGAUGAACCUUAGAAUGGUGACUCUUGGAAGAUAAUUAUUUUAGCUCUACGGGACACUAGAUCCUUCUAUGGGCAGCUUCUCCCAGGUUCCUGGACUUAUAUCAAGUAUGUCUCAUCUCUCAGCCUGUCAGCCAGGUACCUGACUCUCAACCCUACUAUGUGCUUGGAGGUGCUCACAAGAGAGUUGGUUGGCUCUGCCAGUCUUUUCUUAUUCUGACUUUCAGAUGAUUGAUAGUGACUGUGGGUUCUGCUCUUCCCAUUUCAGAGUUCCCGUGCUUUUUAGUUGAGGUUUCUAUUUUGGGGGGUUGGGGGGGCGGUUAAAACACUGUGACCAAAAGCAAUGUAGGGAAAAGGGCUUAUUUAAGCUUACAAGGCUCAGGUCACACUCCGUCAUUGCGGGAGGGCAGGGCAGAGCAGGAAUUCAAGGCAAGAACCUAGAGGCAGGAACUGAGAGCAAAGACCGUGAAGGAAUGCUGGUUCCUGGCAUUCUCCCCAUGACUUAUUCAUCUUACUUUCUUACACAACCCAGUACCUCCUACGCAAAGGUCAUCACCAUAAUUAGUUGACCUUUCCACAUCAACCAGAAAUUAAGGAAAUGCCCCAUAGUCUUGCCUCCAGAUCAGUCUUACAGAAGUAUCUUCUCAUUUGUGCUUCCCUUUUUUUCAGGUGACUCUAGAUUUUUUCAAGUUAGCAAAAAUAGCAACCAGGACACUGAGCUGGAUUUUAGCCCUUGUAGAAGUAGAGUUAUAAGAUAAAGGAGUUACAUCUCCGUAAACCAAGACAACAUAUUGCUGAGCAUGAUAAGCAGUUAUCUAGAUGUAAGGGAAAGUUAAUGUCAUGGUAAUGGCUUCCAGAAGAUAUGUUUCUGUUCAAUCUUUCCUUUACUCAACAAGGCUUUGAAAUUUAAGGUCACCCCCUGGGAUUACAAAAAUACGUAAACAGAAGAAUCUGACUUUAAGGGGAGAUCUGGCAAAAAUAUGUAGACUGUACUAAAAUUCAAUUCCCAUUACAAGUGCUUUAAUAAAGAUAUAUGAAAAGAACAUGAGAAGAAGGACAGCAUCAUUGAUGGGGGAGGCCACAAUAAAGGAAAAAGAGGAGUCAAACUGAGACUUAAGCUAUAUAGAGAUCACAAUUCUGAGAUAGAGAGUCAAAGGGAUUUCCAAC
rnacentral:lncRNA from 1 species